UGCAGUCGAGCGGAACGAGUUGUCUGAACCUUCGGGGAACGAUAACGGCGUCGAGCGGCGGACGGGUGAGUAAUGCCUGGGAAAUUGCCCUGAUGUGGGGGAUAACCAUUGGAAACGAUGGCUAAUACCGCAUAAUAGCUUCGGCUCAAAGAGGGGGACCUUCGGGCCUCUCGCGUCAGGAUAUGCCCAGGUGGGAUUAGCUAGUUGGUGAGGUAAUGGCUCACCAAGGCGACGAUCCCUAGCUGGUCUGAGAGGAUGAUCAGCCACACUGGAACUGAGACACGGUCCAGACUCCUACGGGAGGCAGCAGUGGGGAAUAUUGCACAAUGGGCGCAAGCCUGAUGCAGCCAUGCCGCGUGUAUGAAGAAGGCCUUCGGGUUGUAAAGUACUUUCAGCAGUGAGGAAGGUGGUAGUGUUAAUAGCACUAUCAUUUGACGUUAGCUGCAGAAGAAGCACCGGCUAACUCCGUGCCAGCAGCCGCGGUAAUACGGAGGGUGCGAGCGUUAAUCGGAAUUACUGGGCGUAAAGCGCAUGCAGGUGGUUUGUUAAGUCAGAUGUGAAAGCCCGGGGCUCAACCUCGGAAUAGCAUUUGAAACUGGCAGACUAGAGUACUGUAGAGGGGGGUAGAAUUUCAGGUGUAGCGGUGAAAUGCGUAGAGAUCUGA
rnacentral:rRNA from 1 species